CCACACUGGGACUGAGACACGGCCCAGACUCCUACGGGAGGCAGCAGUGGGGAAUAUUGCACAAUGGGCGAAAGCCUGAUGCAGCGACGCCGCGUGAGGGAUGACGGCCUUCGGGUUGUAAACCUCUUUCAGCAGGGAAGAAGCGAAAGUGACGGUACCUGCAGAAGAAGCGCCGGCUAACUACGUGCCAGCAGCCGCGGUAAUAC
rnacentral:rRNA from 1 species